UGGCGACAUGCUAUACAUGCAGUCGAGCGAAUGGAUUAGAGAGCUUGCUCUUCAUGAAGUUAGCGGCGGACGGGUGAGUAACACGUGGGUAACCUGCCCAUAAGACUGGGAUAACUCCGGGAAACCGGGGCUAAUACCGGAUAACAUUUUGAACUGCAUGGUUCGAAAUUGAAAGGCGGCUUCGGCUGUCACUUAUGGAUGGACCCGCGUCGCAUUAGCUAGUUGGUGAGGUAACGGCUCACCAAGGCAACGAUGCGUAGCCGACCUGAGAGGGUGAUCGGCCACACUGGGACUGAGACACGGCCCAGACUCCUACGGGAGGCAGCAGUAGGGAAUCUUCCGCAAUGGACGAAAGUCUGACGGAGCAACGCCGCGUGAGUGAUGAAGGCUUUCGGGUCGUAAAACUCUGUUGUUAGGGAAGAACAAGUGCUAGUUGAAUAAGCUGGCACCUUGACGGUACCUAACCAGAAAGCCACGGCUAACUACGUGCCAGCAGCCGCGGUAAUACGUAGGUGGCAAGCGUUAUCCGGAAUUAUUGGGCGUAAAGCGCGCGCAGGUGGUUUCUUAAGUCU
rnacentral:rRNA from 1 species